rnacentral:ncRNA from 1 species
UUAGGUUUCUUGCCAUUCCUUUAAAAGGCAAGUGGUGCGGAUGGAGGUUACUCCCGCCGAGUUUCCAAUUUUCUCGUAAUCAAAAUUGGUGGCGAGCCUGAGU